AUUUCAGGUGUUUGGAAGAAGCUUACUGGAUGCAAGGAUAGAGAAGCGUAGUAUAGUGAAAAGAGCUGAACCCGAGAGCAAAGUUAUAAUAGGAACUUGUUCGAAAUGCUUUAUGGCAUGUCCAUCCGGCCAGGAAAUCCGUGAGUGUACAGAGGAAGAUUUCAAGAACAACCGUGUGAUUUGUGAAUGCACACCAAUAUCAGGAAGUAAAAGAGACGUCCUUUUGAGCGAGGUAUAGGUUGGACGAUUCUGAUAUGACUGUUCGUUUUGUUUGGGACAUAACCAUAUGUGGAUUCGAUUUAACCAACCAACCUACAAAAUAAUUUUUUCGUCAGUUUCAAAUAAAACCUAGAUGUUU